rnacentral:rRNA from 1 species
ACUUUGACUGUGCUAAGGUAGCAUAAUAAAUUGGCUUUUAAUUGAAGUCUAGAAUCAAAGGAACUAUGAAUAAAUUCUGUCUUUUUAUAUUUUAAUAAAAUUUACUAAGUAAGGUGAAAAUUCCUUUAUUAUUAUAAUAGACGAGAAGACCCUAGGAGUUUAAAAAAUUUUGUUGGGGCGACAUAACAGCAAUAUUAUAAACCUGUUAUAUUAUAUUAAAUUUAACAAGUUUUAUUAAUUUAAAUUAAGCUACCCUAGGGAUAACAGCAUAAUUUUAUUUAAAAAGUUUGUGACCUCGAUGUUGGACUAGGAAUAAAUAAAUAUUAAUGAUAUUUAUUUGUGUUCUGUUCGAAC